GGAAAUCUCAUCAGGCCCGGACACUGGAAGGAUUGACAGAUUGAUACCUCUUUCUUGAUUCUGUGGGUGGUGGUGCAUGGCCGUUCUUAGUUGGUGGAGCGAUCUGUCUGGUUAAUUCCGAUAACGAACGAGACCCCAACCUGCUAACUAGCCCUCGGGUCCUGCUUCUGUUGGGCCCGACGGAAUGAUUCGCUUCUUAGAGGGACUCGCGGCGCCUAGCCGCACGAAGGGGGGCGAUAA
rnacentral:rRNA from 1 species